UUGUGAAACAAAGCUUGUUUUGCCAUUGCCAAGGCCAAGGACCCCUGAUGUGGGAGGUGGUGGGAGUGAGCCUGGAUUCUUUUGAUCAUAUCCACACCCAAAGGCCAUUAGAGGUCUGAGGAGAGAGCCAUUCAUUAAUCUUAGGGGAAAGUAGUCUAAGACCAGCACCCCAAGAGAUGAACCAUCAUCAGCAUACUGGACCUCAUAAUCACAUUGAUCAUUAGAAGACUCACACUGAAACUUUCCUCCUGAGUGGAUGGCGCUGCA
rnacentral:misc_RNA from 1 species